GAGGGAGGGAGGGAGAAAGAGGGAGGGAGCGAGGGCGACCGGAGCAAACAGAGCAUUAUCAACCGAAAUCAUCUCAGAGCACAUCUUCCGAGGAGCGCGCCGUGCCAACACGAGGCUCAAAGGCGUAAGUUUUCAACCCAACAAGUUUUUUUUAUUAUUAUUAUAUUGCUCCUUUCUCACAACCCGGACGCGAGCCCUGAUGGCAUUACGCGGACGUGGCGGUGGAUACCUUUACGACCGAGUCCCUUCUGUGUCGGGAGAGCCGAGCGGCAGGAUUGGGCGCUGCUGUGAUCUGCGUCUCGCCGCUUCGGUCGCUCUGCACUGCGGAGGGUAUUGAGUGUGAAGCGCGGAGCCGCUCCAGCCGUAUCGGAGGGGGAGAGGAGAAGGGUGCAGACAAACAGCGCUGAGGAAAGAGGCUUCCCAGGGGGACCUAUAGACACUAUGAUGUUCCGUGGUGGAGUCGCAGGUUUCGAGCGGCGCGUGAUUUUGAGCGUUUUGUUGCAGAAACCUUUGGAGCGAGCGCAGUCGGAGCUUUACGCGCGGGGCGCUGAGAGGAGGACCGCCGCGCGGUGAGGAGAGAGAGGGACAAAGUUGAAGGCGAUACAUGGGGUGUACUCUAAAUGGAUCUAAAGGAUAAAGGCUCGACUCAGGUCUCCACAUCCAAAUGUCAUCCCCCUCGGAGCCUGCCCCCGCCGGGCACCAGCAGUGUGUGACGGACAGGCCGACCGGAGCCUGCGGUGGCUCUCUGCUGCGUGGCUUCAAUUUGGCCCCGGCUGGGCCCCGCGUGAGGCCCCCAGUGAAUGCUGCUGCCGCUGCUGCCAUAGUCUGAUAACUCAGCAUGCGUGGAGUCGGGCCAACGAGGACCAGCCACCACUAAUGAGAGCAUUUCUCGUCCCCCUCUUCUGUCUCUGCUGCUGCUGCUAAGGACUACCGUUUACUGGAGUGGCGCGGACAUGAUCCUACUCUGAACACUACACCCUUACCGAACUCUCCUCACUUUUUUUGGAGUGUGGGGGACUAUUUUCUCCUUUUCUUACCAAUGCUGGAUAUAUAAUACGUUUCCUUCAAGAUUUUCUCAUUCUUUUUUAUUGCUACACAUCGAUCCUUUGUUCAUUUUUAAAUCUUUUUAGUUUUUCUUUCUCCAUUUGCUUGGCGGUUGGUGUUUUCCCUCCACUAUGGAGUUUCCUUGCGGACCCUGGAAUAAGGAUUGGCCUUCGUUUCUGCAGUUCUGGCUGACGGUUCUCCUGAGCCUGCAGCUGCAGUUCAGUCCGGCGGCGCCCUGCCCGGUGGAGUGCCGCUGCGACAAGACGUUUGUGUACUGCAACGAGCGCGCCCUGACCUCGGUGCCCCUGGGGGUGCAAGAGGGCUACAAGAUCCUCUACCUCCACAACAACCAGAUCAACAACGCCGGCUUCCCCCUGGAGCUCCACAACGUGGCCUCGGUGGAAACCGUCUUUCUGUACGGCAACCAGCUGGACGAGUUCCCCCUCAACCUGCCCAAGAACACGCGGGUCCUGCAUCUCCAGGAGAACAACAUCCAGACCAUCUCCCGGGCGGCGCUCGCCCAGCUCACCCAGCUGGAGGAGCUCCACCUGGACGACAACUCCAUCUCCACGGUCGGUGUGGAGGAGGGCGCCUUCCGCGAGGCGCUGAGCCUGAAGCUGCUCUUCCUCACCAAGAACCACCUGAGCAGUGUGCCCAUCGGCCUGCCCGAGGACCUGCAGGAGCUGCGGCUGGACGAGAACCGCAUCGCCAUCAUCGCCGAGGAGGCCUUCCAGAACGUGACCCGCCUGCAGCGCCUCCUGCUGGACGGGAACCUGCUGACGGACGAGGGCAUCGCGCCCGGAACCUUCCAGGACCUGGCCAACCUCCGGGAGCUGGCGCUGGCCCGGAACUCCCUGACCUUCCCGCCCCCGCUGCUGCCCAGCCAGUCCCUGCUGAAGCUCAGCCUGCAGGAGAACCAGAUCAACCUGAUCCCCGUGACGGCCUUUGCCGGCUUCCACCGGCUGGAGAAGCUGGACGUGUCCAACAACCAGCUCCAGAUCCUCACCCAGGGCGUGUUCGAUGGGCUGAUGAACCUCAGGCAGAUCACCGUGAGGAACAACCCCUGGCGCUGCGACUGCGCCGUCAAGUGGGUGGUGGUGUGGCUCAAGUCGCUGCCACCGUCCCUCAACGCCCGGGGCUUCGUGUGCCAGAGUCCGGACAAGGUGCGCGGCAUGGCGGUCCGGGAGCUCACGCUGGAGAACAUCCACUGCCCUACCGACUCCGGCGCCGAGAAGUCCCCGUGGCCCACCCUGCGCACCACGCCCCCUCCGCCGCCGACCACCAUCGGCGACCCUCCUCCCGCCACCACCACCGCCACCGUCGCCGGCGGCGGCGGCUUUGGCGCCGGUUUUGGCGACAGCUCCGCCCCGGCAGACCCCUCCUUCCCCAACUUCUUCGACCCGCCCCCCUCCCCCCUCCCGCCGCCGCCGCACCACCCGUCGGGGCCGCUGCCGCCUUACGAGGACCCACUGCAGAUCUCCUUCCACGGGGUCAACUCCACCUGCAUCCAGGUGAGCUGGGCGUCCUACUUCACCGUCACCGCCUACAAGGUGACCUGGGUGAAGAUGGGCCACAACCUGAUGGGCGACGUGACCCGCGAGCAGACGGUGAGCGGCGACCGCCGGCAGCUCAGCCUCACCGAGCUGGAGCCUCGCUCCGUGUACCGCAUCUGCGUGUACGUGCUGGACACCCUCAACUCCUACCGGCCCGGCGAGGACACCAUGUGCCUGGAGACCAGGACCAAGCCCGCCCCGGGCACCAAGCCGGCGGGGCCCGAGCAGGCCGCCCAGCAGGACCUCACCUCGACGCUGCUGUUGGCCGGGAUCAUAGGCGGGGCGGUGCUCAUCGUCCUGGUAACGCUGCUCAGCCUGUUCUGCUGGCACAUGCACAAGAAGAGCCGCUCGGCCUCGGCCAACUGGAAAUACAACCGGGGCCGGAGAAAAGACGACUACUGCGAGGCGGGCACAAAGAAGGACACCUCCAUUCUGGAGAUGACCGAGACCAGUUUCCAGAUAGUGUCGCUGAACAAUGAGCAGCUGCUGAAGGGGGAUUUCCGCAUUCAGCCAAUAUACACGCCCAACGGGGGCAUCGGCUUCAGAGACUGCCACCUCAGUAACAACAGUCUAGCGUACUGCAAGAGCAGCAACGUGCCCAGUACAGAGUUCUGCCACACGUGAUGCAAAAUUGGUUGAUAAUGCGUUGAGGCAUUGCCAGACACACACACGCAGAAAUGCAAAAACGUCCGCAACCCACCGAACACACACACACACACACGGGCACUUUCCUGCCGAGAAACUACAGGAAACCACAUGGACACACACCCACACCCACGCAAACUAGCCGAUUGUGUAGGCACCAAGACAAAAAAGACUUUGAAGAAAUCUAGUGAACUAUAACUGUACUAUAUAUAUUUCCAAGUUCUGUCUACAAUGUAAUUUAUACUGUGGAUUAUAAUGUGGGAUUCUCGCUAUGUUUUCUAUUAUUAUUAUUAUUAUUAUAAUUAUUAGAAGAAGAGAUACAGCUUUUGUUUCUUUGUUUUUGUAACCAGCAAGGUUAACAUGUUGGGAAACCUGAGGCCCCCAUGGCCUGGGCUGCACGUGAAAAACGAGAGUUCAAUCCGAAUCAGACAUGAGUGAGGUGUGGACUCUGACGCACACAGCGAACGUCCGUCUCUGAUAAGACACGACACAGCGCUUUGAAGUGGGGGCCCCUCGAGACUCUCUGCUGACCACGGGAACCAGACAUGACCUUUGGGUUUUAAAAAAGACACCACCGGCCACCCCCUCCCUAUCCAGAGCAGCAGUGUAGACUCUCAGAAGCUCCCACCUCGCUGAUUACAACGUGAGGGAGGGCUGGGCUGACUGGUGGUGAGAACCAGAGUGGGGGAAAAUAAAUGGAGCAGAAGUGCACUUUUCUUUUGGAAUUAAUGAAACCCCGAGCGUAUAACCAGCACUUCAGGAAAUUAGCUUUGGUUGAGUUAGCAGGGGAGUGAAUAGGGCACACUCUUUGACACGUCUUAGCCCUUUAAGGGUCUAAAUGGGGUACCCAUUAACUCUUAUUAAUGGGGUGGGUUUCAAGAGGAGAACGACAUUGGGUUCUGAUGGACACUGAGCCUAGCAUAAAGCAAAUAGCACCAUACCCAGAACUCCCAGUUUGACGGGUUAACAACAGAACAAAGGCAGGCUUUUCUUUAACAGAUGAGAUAAUAUUUUCAGAUUUUUUAUUUUUUUUGGAAAAAACUAACAGCGUUCCAAAUGUGUAUUUGCGCGUGGUAGCACAGGAAAACAAAGUGCCCAGUGUAGUACCGGUAAUUAGUUAUUUGUUAUUUUUCAAACCAGUGUCCCAAAAGUGAUAGGGGUAGCCGAUGUGUUCACUGCCUCCAGGGUGCAGUGGCUGGUGUGUCCACAAGAGGGCAAAGGCAGAGGGAGAGAAAGACAGAGAGGGAAAGAAAGGCAGAGAGAAAGACAAACGAGUUGCUGAGAUCACUUUACCUCGAUCCUUCCCCCUGGAGAACCAUUGGCCCGGGCCACAUUACUCAUGCUCAAACGCCGUUGUUUGGCAUAUUAAUGCUCAUCGAGCUACUUAAUGAUGUGGAAUCAUUUAAAACCAACAGUGUAUUCUACGCUAAGCGGCUAAAUGAUAUAGAUUUUUCCUCAUCUUCUUCUGCUUCCUCCUCAUCUCAUCAUCACCCCCUUUUUAUCAAUCAUAAAUCAACUCUCGCCUUUCCUUUCCUCAUCUUCUCCUAUGUGGGGUUUUUCAUUGGCCGAAAAAAGAAAGAAAUUAAGAAUGGGAGGGACGGGCGCGAUGGCUUUGGCCUUUUUGGAAACCCCAGUGGUGUCGCUAAUUACGCACCCCCUCAUCUCUGGAUGGCUUUGGCCCACGGCCCGUUGUUCGUUCGUUGCCUCAGAUGGAUUCAAAGCGUUUUCUCUUAUCCGCCCAUCUAUAAUCAAAUGGCGACAGAAGCAGCGCGUCCCUCCUGUGCUCUCUAUCCUUCGUCGGCGCUGUGCUCUUGUUCUUCAUCCGGCCCUUCAUCAUUAUCGCCUCCCAUCUCUCUGCAUGGGCCGCCGUCCCCUCCAUUUAGGGCGCUCUCCACCGCCGGCUCCAGCUCAUGCCGUUCGUUUAAUUGGACGUAAAGAAGAAUUAAAAAUAAUGAAAGUGUCCCCCUUGAGGACAAUGAGAGACUGCUUGAUGGAAGCCUUGAGGAAAGCGUAAAUACGGUGGGAUUGACGGCGAAUUCAAAAUGGCGCAAUAAAUGUGGAGAAAGCCGGAUCAGUGAAGUGGUGGAAGGUUAUACACUAUUCUGUGGAAAGAUAACGGAUAUGAGAAAAAUAGACGGAUUGGAUCUCGCUCUGCCGGGAUUUUAUCAGUGUACUUUCUCCGGGGCUGCCUGGCUCUCAUUGUGUGUGUGUCACUCUUGCUCUCCCCGUCUCUCUCUCUCUCCGUCUAUCUCUGUCUCAAGGCCUGUCACUGCCAGUGUCUCUCCCUCUGUCUCCCUCUGUCUCUCGGCCUGUCUCCUCACCUCUGGUCCCAGCAUGAGUUCAAUUAAACCACCGUCUGACUCCCAGGCCCCUGGGCGCCCGGGUAUUGGCCGUCCCCUGAAAGGUCCUCAUUAUGCGCCCCUUAAAGAAAAUACUUUUAUUUGCUUUGACAAGAUUUUAUUUGGGCUUAAAGUUUUCCCACCAAACGCCACCGCCCGCCGUCCCCACCACCAGUCCCCCCAACACACACAUACACACACCAGCUCCAAUCAUCCCGCCUCAUAAUCCUCAUCCAAAAAAGGGAGGGAAAUAUGCAGCCCCUAUUUCCGCCAGGCCGAAUCAAUGUCAUGCUUGGAGAUGACAGUAGGGAGCGAGAGAGAGAGAGAGAGAGAGUGAGUAAGAGGGAGCAGGGAAAAGAGAGAGGGAAGGAGAGAGAAGGAAGAAAGUUUGGGAGAGAGAGAGAGACAGACACAAAUAUUGUACUCAAACUGCAUUUAAAAAUAUAUAUUUUAUUUUAAAUAUACAUGAAGUUCAUCGAAGAACAAACCAGACUGCGAUGGUAGGUGUGGCAAUGUGGCGCUUAUCAGUGCCGGAACGUGAUUUGUACCAAGCUGUGUCGUUCUCAACCUUGUUGGAGGGUAUUGCGUAUAAGCUGUUUUCAAUGUGAGCAAUAUUUCCGAUCCAGACUAAUCUGUAUGCAUAGGUUUUUCUCUAUUUGACUUCCCGAUCAACACAUGCCAAGUCACAUCUCCUGUGGUCCCAGCAUAGAGUCUAAAUACUAUUUCUCCGCUGUCUGGGUUUCCAAUGUCGAUUUCACCAUGCAGUACUGUCCGUCCCAACCCUAGGCUGACCUCUCCUUGACCUUGACCUGCUUCGACCAGAGGUAUGACCGACUGCUCUGUUGCCCCGUUGCCAAACCAAGGUUCUGACCGGUUAUGCAUCCGAUAAUAACCGCUUCCUGUUGCGUGUCGUUUGGAACGUAUCACCACAUGUCCAUAAUCCCAAAACAGAAAAAACCUGAAGCUUUACUCUUCGUUUUGUUUCUUUAGCUUUAAUUUCUGUUGUGGUUGUUUUUUUGUUUUUGUUUUUAAUAAUCACUUUGUGUUUUGGAUAAUUGAAUCAGACCAAACAUGUCAGUUCAGACUAUUACAAUGUAUCUCACCAAUCAGUGAAUGUUUAUUUUUGUUGUUUUCUUGGGGUGGGGGAGGGAGGGAGGGAUGGAUGGAGACAGGAAUUGCCUUACACUUUAUGCAGUAUUGAAAAAGCAGCUGCAUUUAUUUCAAGGACUUCAUAGUGGUAAACCAACAAAAAAAAAGCAGAAAUAUAGACGGGCAGGGAAGAAAUCAACCAACUUAACUGAUAGAAAGCACAUGUAUUCGGUUGGAGAUAAGCUGCGCCGACGUCAUCCACAAUAACAGUAUUAGCAGCGUUGAAAAAAAGCAAAAAGUCCACAGAAAGAGAGUAGGAUCGGCCCUAACUGACUGUUGGUGCUCUCAGAGCGGUGCGAGGCUAACGAUCAAGGCGGUCUGAGGAAUAGCUCGGCGGCUUCUUUCACAGGAAACAUUACUCUUCAUUUCCACUCUGUGCGGUGAGAGAACACGGUUGUGGUGCCGUGACCAAUGGAAUUACACAAAACGUAUUCCCAUCUGAGACAGGCCGUUUAUUACUUUUAUCAGGGUGCCCGAGAACUAAUCCUUCCCCCUUAUAGCUCAUUGAUUCACGUUUUAAAUAAUUAUGUUUAAUGACUGAGAGGUCAACUUAGACAAAGUGUUCACGUGGACGAAAUGUAAUACGUUUAAAGUCAUCUUUUUUUUUAAAGCAGACUCGCUCAUGUUUAACUUUUUCUUAAAGCAAAAACCAUCCAUUGCAUAUAGGCCGCUAGUGAUCAGCUUUUAUUCAACGAUUUUCGCAUGUUAUUUCUUUUUUCUUGACCUUGUUUCUGGUGAGCGGUAGGUAAGCAGGUUUUUGAUAACUGGCCAAUUCAAAUAAAGGUUAUGCAUUCCCCGUGAGUCGAGCAACGCAUUCUACCCUUUUACCUCCAACAAUUGGCAUACACGGCCAAAAUAUAAUCAGUCCAUCAAACAGGAACAAUGUCCAAGACAUGAAAAGAAGCAGUCAGACCCACAGACAGAGGUUGCAUGAAAUGUGGUAGUGUUUGGGGUGAUAAAUCAUCCUGGAAUAUGAUUAAGACAUCUGCGUAUUGCGGUAACUAUUCAGAGGAGUUUUUCCUAGGCGCCAAAGUAACUUUUUUUUGUUCUCAUAAAGAAAUAUUGGUGUUGUUCCAUGUAUGUGCCUUGAGGUUGAACUUACAAUGUAAAGUCCUUGAAAACCUUUAAAUGUUUUUGCACAAAAUGUAAAUACUUAAGUGAAGCUUUUUGCAAAUAAAAGAGCCAUGGGAUUUAAAAUGGCCCAUAUUA